rnacentral:rRNA from 1 species
UACGUAGGGUGCAAGCGUUUGUCCGGAAUUAUUGGGCGUAAAGAGCUCGUAGGCGGUUUGUCGCGUCUGCUGUGAAAACUGGAGGCUCAACCUCCAGCCUGCAGUGGGUACGGGCAGACUAGAGUGCGGUAGGGGAGAUUGGAAUUCCUGGUGUAGCGGUGGAAUGCGCAGAUAUCAGGAGGAACACCAGCGGCGAAGGCGGCGCUCUGGGCUGGAACUGACGCUGAGGAGCGAAAGCGUGGGGAGCGAACAGG